GCCAUGCCGCGUGUAGUGAUGAAGGCCUUCGGGUUGUAAAGCACUUUUGUCCGGGAAGAAAUCCUUGGCUCUAAUACAGUCGGGGGAUGACGGUACCGGAAGAAUAAGCACCGGCUAACUACGUGCCAGCAGCCGCGGUAAUACGUAGGGUGCGAGCGUUAAUCGGAAUUACUGGGCGUAAAGCGUGCGCAGGCGGUUUGCUAAGACCGAUGUGAAAUCCCCGGGCUCAACCUGGGAACUGCAUUGGAGACUGGCGGGCUAGAGUAUGGCAGAGGGGGGUAGAAUUCCACGUGUAGCAGUGAAAUGCGUAGAGAUGUGAAGGAAUACCGAUGGCGAAGGCAACCCCCUGGGCCGAUACUGACGCUCAUGCACGAAAGCGUGGGGAGCAAACAGGAUUAGAUA
rnacentral:rRNA from 1 species